GAUGAAGAACGUAGCGAAAUGCGAAAAGUAGUGUGAAUUGCAGAAUUCAGUGAAUCAUCGAAUCUUUGAACGCACAUUGCGCCCAUUAGUAUUCUAGUGGGCAUGCCUGUUCGAGCGUCAUUAAGUCCACUUAAGCCCUGCUUAGUGUUGGGAGACUGCUCCAGCGGUGCUACCCUGUAGCUACCCUGCAGCUCCUCAAAGACAGCGGCGGAGUUGUGGUAUCCUCUGAGCUUAGUAACUUGUUCUAGCUUUCGAGUACACCACUUCCCCUGCCGUAAAACCCUUAAUUUUUAAUGGUUGACCUCGGAUCAGGUAGGAAUACCCGCUGAACUUAAGCAUAUCAAUAAGCGGAGGA
rnacentral:misc_RNA from 1 species